rnacentral:rRNA from 1 species
CGACUAUCCGUAACUGGUCUGAGAGGAUGACCUUCCACACUGGGACUGAGACACGGCCCAACUCCUACGGGAGGCAUUCUGGGGAAUCUUGGACAAUGGGGGCAACCCUGAUCCAUCAAUACCGCGUGUGUGAAGAAGGCCUUCCGGUUGUAAAGCACUUUAGUUGGGGAAGAAAGGUAAUUUUGUAAAUAGCAAUUUACUGUGACGGCACCCAAAGAAUAAGCACCGGCUAACUCUGUGCCAGCAGCCGCGGUAAUACAGAGGGUGCAAGCGUUAAUCAGAAUGACUGGGCGUAAAGGGCGUGUAGGUGGCUGACUAGGAUUGAUGUGAAAUCCCCGGGCUUAACCUGGGAAUGGCGUUGAUAACCGGUUAGCUAGAGUAAGACAGAGGGUUGUGGAAUUUCCGGUGUAGCAGUGAAAUGCGUAGAUAUCGAAAGGAACAUCAGUGGCGAAGGCGACAACCUGGGUCUUAACUAACACUGAGGCGCGAAGGCGUGGGGGAGCAAACAGGAUUUAAAUUACCCUGGUAGU